ACAAGCUUGGCUAGUAUUUGCAGGCUUUCUACAUAACUUUCUACAUAACUAGCUAGCUAACGCUAGUUAACCUACCUAAAUAUUAAAUGAGGACUGCACUUUGUGUGAGAAUGCAGAAUAAUUCUUUUUUUUUUUUUUUGAUAGCAUAAAAUCCCAAAUACCCUCAGCUGACUUUGACUUGUCAUCCUCAAUUAUCAGAGUCAAAGAAAAGAUGUUAAUAUAAUGGAGCAGUUGACUGCUUUCUACAAGAAACAGGAAUGUAAGGAGACGGAGACAAAAACUCAGUUCAUAUGAAAAAAUUCAUAGUAAACCUCAGAAGCCAUAUAUAAAACAUCCUACAAAUACCAGCAUUGAUGGAUGUGGAAUUAAUUUUAAUGAUGUAACAAAGAGGCUGCAUCUGAAAAAGAUUCUUCCAUAGUGUCUAUUGAUUUGCGAUAUACUGAAUAUGAGACAAAGCAAAUGAUUACUUGUAACACAUGCCCAAGUACUCCACAUCAUGACCUACUGAAGCAAGACCCAUCCACGGAGAGAAUGGAAUGCUCACAGCCAGAGGCAGACAGAAGGAGAGGGUAUGCUGCCUCUCAAAGAUCCCCUGUUCUCAUGACUUCAAAGCCAAGUGUUUUGGGCAAUACUUUAAAAAUGUUAGUUAAAAAACAAUAUUUCUUUAUUUGUAAAUAUAUUUGUGGUAAA